CCUACGGGAGGCAGCAGUGGGGAAUAUUGCGCAAUGGGCGAAAGCCUGACCCAGCGACGCCGCGUGAGGGAUGAAGGUCUUCGGAUCGUAAACCUCUGUUAGCAGGGAAGAACGGUCACUGUGCUAAUCAGCAUUGAAUUGACGGUACCUGCAAAGGAAGCACCGGCUAACUCCGUGCCAGCAGCCGCGGUAAUACGGAGGGUGCGGGCGUUAAUCGGAAUUAUUGGGCGUAAAGGGCUCGUAGGCGGUAUGUCAAGUCUAGGGUGAAAUGCCCGGGCUCAACCUGGGAACUGCCUUGGAAACUGGCAAGCUGGAGUGCGUGAGAGGAUGGUGGAAUUCCAGGUGUAGGGGUGAAAUCCGUAGAUAUCUGGAGGAACAUCAGUGGCGAAGGCGACUAUCUGGCACGUAACUGACGCUGAGGCGCGAAAGCGUGGGUAGCAAACAGGAUUAGAUACCCUGGUAGUC
rnacentral:rRNA from 1 species